AAACAGAUUAAAUCCCUGGUAGUCCACGCCNUAAAGAUGUCAACUGGNUGUGGGUCUUCACUGACUCAGUACGAAGCUAACGCGUAAAGUUGACNGCNUGGGNAGUACGGCCGCAAGGUUAAACUCAAAGNAAUUGACGGGGACCCGCACAAGCGGUGGAUGAUGUGGUUUAAUUCGAUGCAACGCGAAAACCCUUACCCACCUUUGACAUGUACGGAAGAUCGCAGAGACGCGAUUGUGCUCGAAAGAGAGCCGUAACACAGGUGCUGCAUGGCUGUCGUCAGCUCGUGUCGUGAGAUGUUGGGUUAAGUCCCGCAACGAGCGCAACCCUUGCCAUUAGUUGCUACAUUCAGUUGGGCACUCUAAUGGGACUGCCGGUGACAAACCGGAGGAAGGUGGGGAUGACGUCAAGUCCUCAUGGCCCUUAUAGGUGGGGCUACACACGUCAUACAAUGGCUGGUACAAAGGGUUGCCAACCCGCGAGGGGGAGCUAAUCCCAUAAAGCCAGUCGUAGUCCGGAUCGUAGUCUGCAACUCGACUACGUGAAGUCGGAAUCGCUAGUAAUCGUGGAUCAGAAUGUCACGGUGAAUACGUUCCCGGGUCUUGUACACACCGCCCGUCACACCAUGGGAGCGGGUUCUGCCAGAAGUAGGUAGCCUAACCGUAAGGAGGGCGCUUACCACGGCAGGGUUCGUGACUGGGGUGAAGUCGUAACAAGGUAACC
rnacentral:rRNA from 1 species